rnacentral:rRNA from 1 species
CCUACGGGCGGCAGCAGUGGGGAAUAUUGCGCAAUGGGCGAAAGCCUGACGCAGCGACGCCGCGUGAGGGAUGAAGGUCUUCGGAUCGUAAACCUCUGUCAGCAGGGAAGAACGGUCACUGUGCUAAUCAGCAGUGAAUUGACGGUACCUGCAAAGGAAGCACAGGCUAAGUCAGUGCCAGCAGCAGCGGUAAUACGGAGGGUGCGAGCGUUAAUCGGAAUUACUGGGCGUAAAGCGCUCGUAGGCGGUAUGGCAAGUCAAGGGGGAAAUCCCCGCGCUCAACGUGGGAACUGCAUUUGAAACUGGUAAACUGGAGUGUGGGAGGGGGUAGUGGAAUUCCUGGUGUAGGAGUGAAAUCCGUAGAUAUCUGGAGGAACACCAGUGGCGAAGGCGACUAUCUGGCACAUAACUGACGCUGAGGAGCGAAAGCGUGGGUAGCAAACAGGAUUAGAUACCCUGGUAGUC